CUUUCUCCUGCUAUGGAACAAUGCCACAGUGACCUCACAGUGUUAAGUCCAUUAUGGAAAGAACUUGCAUCAGAGGUGGCUGUUGCUGAGAACUUGCUGUAGCUGAUUGAAACUAACCCAAAUUCCAGAAGAUCAGAGAUGUAUAUAGAACUCCUUGAAGUGAUCAUCAGUUGCUUCUGUCUGCCCAGCAUCCCUUUCCCCUUCCUCUGGCCAUGUUACCUCCCCAUGUUGCAAUUAUAUUGCAUAUAUAUGCAAAUGAAACUAGAAGAAUUUAAGCAAUAGUGAGAGCUAUUGCUAUAAAAAGAAAACAAAAUAGACCGAGGUGGAGAGAAAGCAGAAUCAGAAAGCAACUUCCAAAGCAGUCUUGAGCUGUCCAGAGUUCUGACCUCUGCUCAGACAUCUCUGUCCAUCAGUCCU
rnacentral:lncRNA from 1 species